rnacentral:rRNA from 1 species
UACGUAGGGGGCAAGCGUUGUCCGGAUUUAUUGGGCGUAAAGAGCGUGUAGGCGGCCAGGUAGGUCUGCUGUGAAAACUCGAGCUUAACCUCGAGACGCCGGUGGAAACCAUCUAGCUAGAGUCCGGAAGAGGAGAAGUGGAAUUCCUGGUGUGAGCGGUGAAAUGACGCAGAUAUCAGGAAGAACACCCGUGGCGAAGGCGGCUCUCUGGGACGUGACUGACGCUGAGACGCGAAAGCGUGGGGAGCGAACAGG